AUGCUGUGAAGUCUCAGAACUCCAGGCUGUUCACCUGCAGACAACUAAAGCCCAAGCACAUAUCAAACUUGUUAGGAGUUGGUACUGGGACUGGCACUGUUUAACACCUUUGUCGGUGACAUGGACAGUGGGACUGAGCACACCCUCAGCAAGGCUCUGACAGCACCAGGCUGUGUGCUGUGAUGGACACUCUGGAGGGAAGGGAUGACAUCCAGAGGGACCUUUGCAGGCUUGAGAGAUGGGUCUAUGUGAACCUCAUGAAGUUCAACAGGCAAAGUGCAAGGUCCUGCACAUGGGCUGCAGCAAUCCCAAUUACAAACACAGGUGACUGCUAUUCACACAGAAAGAGAAUGAAUAGAAGACUAUCUCCACUUCAGACAUUUUUGAUUUCUAAACUAUCAUUAAAAUGUCACAAUCCCACUGCAGUCCUCUUCACUUCAGGAUUUUCUCUCUUAUCACAGCAGUCAGUUGGUUUGGGCUCUUUGCUUCUCUUGCCAUUGUGCACAAUUUAAUACCACUGUCAGAGGAGGAUAAUGAUGGCGCACCACAGAAAGUUUUUGUGUUUUCAGCUCUGUAUGCUGGAGUGUAACUGAACCUGUUGAUGAUUUAAAUUCCUCUAACUUUUUGAGGUUUCAAAAUGUUGCCUGCUCUUCCUCCAAUAAUUACAUGCUAUGGCAAAUAAUUCACUUUCUCUGAGUGGGCCAGAAAAACCAUAUUGACAGACAAAUGCAAGAGAGAAAGGACUGAUAAAUUUCUGUUACAUGUUCACACCUCAGUACUCAGAAAAGUCACUGCCCAAAUUCUAAAUAGAAAUUCAUCAUCAAAGUUGGUAUUAAUAAGUCAUACACCAUCCCCUGACAGAGGCCAGAAGUUUAACAGAUCUUGGAGAACAAACUUCUUUCAUGGUUCUACAGGUGGUCUCUCCAGAUCAGUGCAACAGCUGAGUAUGACUGAUGUGGGGACUUCCCAUCCCAAGGGUCAAAGAGAAUAACCUGGGGGGGACCUGGGCAGGCAUAUUCAGUGGAACUACAUGCACCAAUCUGAGAUUCGAGUAGGAGCAUCCAGAAUAAUUUUAGGAAACUGGGAAAUACUUGCUUAAAAUUUCCUUAUGCUGUUAUCUUGCCUUGGAACUCAGAAGACAUUGGACACCUUCUCAACACCACAGGUGGCAGGGAUCAUUCAGAAGACUUCAGUACUUAUCUCCAGAUUUGUAGGUGCUGUUUUCACAUGGUGAGACAGAAAUCUCCUGGAUGCUUCUUUGCCGUUUGGAGGAAGUUGGAAGUCCAUGCUUCAUCGUGCUAUAGACCUCCUGCUUACAAGCACAGAAGGGCUGAUGGCAGAUGUAGCGGUUGGAAGCUGUCCGGGGUACAGUGACUGUGAAAUAAUAGAGUUUUCAAUAUUUGGUGAAACAAGGAGGGGCAUCAACAAAACUUCUCCACUGGACUUCUGGAGAACUCACUACCAGUUCUGUUAUGAUAAUGAUGUGGAUGUUUACUUUCAUUUAUGUUUUAUUUCCAAUUCCAAGCUCUAAUUGAUCUCUCACAAAACCUUUAGAUACCUAGUUAGAUGCAAACCACCUCUGUUUGCUUUCUGAUACAAAACUCUGCAUUGUCAAUUGGAUUAUUCUUGGAAUUCUGGUUAAUGGAAGGACCUGUAUGUUCCUUUAUAGCAGUCACUGUCCACAGCUUAGACUAUGACUCUUCCAUGAUGAAUGCCUGUUGUAUUAAGGUGAAGCGGCCUCUAGCAAGUUGACAUUUGUUUCCUGUUCACUGAAAUCCUGAUGACUCAAAAAGCCCUUUUUUCCUUUCCAUCCUCAUCAAACACUCUUACAUCAAAUGAGUUUAUUUACUUCCACCUAGGACUAAAGCCCCAGCUUUACAAGGGUCUGGUUCAAAAAACACUUUUACAAGCAUUAUUUAUCCAAGGGGUUUGAUAGAAAUGCACUACAAUGGACACCAUCCCCUUUCAUUUUCUUCCACCAUGUAGAAACUUAAAAAAUGGUACAGAUCAACCUCUUCUUUUACAUUUUUUUCUUCUUCCUGUUCUCACAGAAAUAUGGGGCCAUUUAAAUUUUUCUGCAUAUAUUUGUGGACAAAUUUACUUUUUUAAUUAAGCUAUUAUAUUUUAAGAGGAUGUCAUCACUAUAAAAGAUGAUAAUAAAAUGUUAAAGUU